rnacentral:rRNA from 1 species
CCUACGGGCGGCAGCAGUGAGGAAUAUUGGUCAAUGGACGAGAGUCUGAACCAGCCAAGUAGCGUGCAGGAUGACUGCCCUAUGGGUUGUAAACUUCUUUUAUAUGGGAAUAAUAUGUUCUACGUGUGGGUUUUUGUAUGUAUCAUACGAAUAAGGAUCGGCUAACUCCGUGCCAGCAGCCGCGGUAAUACGGAGGAUCCGAGCGUUAUCCGGAUUUAUUGGGUUUAAAGGGUGCGUAGGUGGAUUGUUAAGUCAGUUGUGAAAGUUUGCGGCUCAACCGUAGAAUUGCAGUUGAUACUGGCAGUCUUGAGUACAGUAGAGGUGGGCGGAAUUCGUGGUGUAGCGGUGAAAUGCUUAGAGAUCACGAAGAACUCCGAUUGCGAAGGCAGCUCACUGAACUGCAACUGACACUGAGGCACGAAAGUGUGGGUAUCAAACAGGAUUAGAUACCCUAGUAGUC